rnacentral:rRNA from 1 species
AACGAACGCUGGCGGCAUGCCUAACACAUGCAAGUCGAACGAGGUUGCUGUUUUCGGAUAGUAACCUAGUGGCGCACGGGUGCGUAACGCGUGGGAAUCUGCCCUUUGGUUCGGAAUAGCACAGAGAAAUUUGUGCUAAUACCUGAUGAUGACGAAAGUCCAAAGAUUUAUCGCCGAAGGAUGAGCCCGCGUAGGAUUAGCUAGUUGGUGGGGUAAAGGCCUACCAAGGCGACGAUCCUUAGCUGGUCUGAGAGGAUGAUCAGCCACACUGGGACUGAGACACGGCCCAGACUCCUACGGGAGGCAGCAGUGGGGAAUAUUGGACAAUGGGCGCAAGCCUGAUCCAGCAAUGCCGCGUGAGUGAAGAAGGCCUUCGGGUUGUAAAGCUCUUUUACCCGGGAAGAUAAUGACUGUACCGGGAGAAUAAGCCCCGGCUAACUCCGUGCCAGCAGCCGCCGUAAAAC